CGCAGUUACAGAGAGAGAAGGGGGCAACCACCCACACUUCAACACAGAAAAACAGAGAGACCCAGGAACACACUACUUUGAUCCGAUGAGCAACAACAGCCCUACAGCUAUACUAAUCUUUGUGGUCCCACAAGAGCUACAUGAAACAAGCUCCCGAGAUGCAGAAGCUCAUGGGCUCCUCUGACAUCCUCAGGUAUUUUUGUAAUUGCCACAUGAAGAACAGGGUGGUAUAUGGGCACAUCCAACCCAUGUCUGCUCAUACGCAGGAAAGCCAGCAACUGAGUAACUGAGUCGUUAAAAAGUAACAAAUCAAAACAAAAUACCCCUCUUACUCAAAGAAAACAAAACAAAAAACCUUCACACCUCCUCUGAGGAGUUUAUGGCUUAAAAUGCUCUCUCACUUUUUGUUUCAUGGAUGAACAAAGCUGCAGUUUUCCAGAAAGCAAGGACAGACAUGCACCUCUACUAGCAGAUUUAGCACUUCUGACCAAGACACCAACUUCUUAAAAAUGUCUCAUGCACUGACUGGAAAUUUUUUCUUUUUUUUUUUUUCCCUACAUGUGAGCUUUGAGACAUUAUUUCUUUUUAGAACUUGUACGGGAACCAGAAUGGGAAGAUCCAGAUGAUGAUCUGCGGCGUCUUUCGGGUGACCGUGAUCUCGAUCGUCUUUUUUUGCGAUCACCAGAUGAAGAAGAUCUAGAGCGACUGCGCUUCUUGCUCCUCUCGGGGGACGAGGACGAACGAGAGCUUGAGUAAGAUCUUUUCCUUGGGGUUGAAGACCCCCUGUAGGACCUGGAGCUGGAUCUUGAUUUCGACCCACGAGAUCUAGAGUGUUCUCUGGAACUGGAACGAGAUCUUGAUCUGGAACUGGAAGAACUUCUUGAAUGGGACCUGGACCUAGACCUUGAGCUUGAAUGAGAGGAUGAGCGUGAUGAAGAUCGUGAGUGGGAAGAUCGAGACUUAGAGCGACUGCGCCUAUUGGAUUUCUUUUUCUUAUUAGUGUCCUCUUCUUCACUGGCAUCAAGAUUAUAUUUUGAGAGGUCAGCAUCAUCUUCAUCCUCAUCCUCAUCCAAUUUGUAUUUGGAAAGAUCUCCAUCCUCAUCCUCCUCAUCUUCCCCCUCAGAUUCCUUAUCUUCUACUUCCUUCAGGAUAGAUGCUGGACCAACUGGUUUUCCUCUAUACUUUUUCUUUUUGCGACCAAACUCAUCAUAUUCCCCAUCUGAUUCUUCACGUUCUAUAUAUUCAACAUUCUCUCGUUCAUUAAAUCCUCCUCCAUAUCCUGUCCGUUCCUCCAAUUUAGCAUACUUCGGAGUAUUACACAUAUUACAUUCUGACCUUCUGGCCCAGUUCACGUUACCACAUGUUUUGCACUGCCAGUCAUUGGCGCUGAAGAGGCCGCGGCUCUUCUCCGCCAGAGUCUUCCCUAUCUCCGUGCCUCCGGCUUUCAUCAUUUUGGCUUCAGUCGUUUUCUCUCUCCCACAGCGGUUGCAGCUGGUCCUCCUGGCGAAGUUCACGUUCCCACACUUCUUGUCGGGGCAGAUCCAGUCCCCGUCGCUCACGCGGAAAUUCUUGGUCGACAUCUCGGACCCGCAGAGCCCCGCCGAGCGCCGCCGCCGCCGCCGCGCAGGAGGAAGAGGACCGGGGCCCUGCGCCGGCCGGGCUGCCCGCGGCGCCUGCGCCCCGCGGCCUCAGCGAGCCGGGCUCGCGCCGGGCGGGAUUUCGGUCAGGCAGCGCCUCGGCCGCCUCAGCCCGGCUGCGCGGAGAGGGUGCGGAGAACGCGCGCCCCCAGCGGCCCGGAGGGCUGCCUGCAGCUCGCGCCGUGCGCGGGGGCCGCGGGAGGCGUCGUCAGCGGCAGCGGGGAGCGGCGGGGGGCGGCCUCGGCAGCUCGGCAGUUCGGCACCUCAGCCUCAGAGCUCGGGGCUCUCGGCGGGACGGCGCGCCCGGAUAGCCGCCCGCUGCCGGUGUGCGUCCGCGGGGCGGUCGGCUGCGGCCUCGCUCGUGCCGGGAGCGGCGGUUGCUCUGAGCAACGUGACGACGUCCCACGAGAACGCGGGGACAGUUUGAGCUGCGAGUGACGCGCGGCCUCGGCGUGGACAUAGCGCCAGAACGUCCACACGAAGCCUUUUGCUUCUUCCCGUGUGGGCGCUUCGUCAGCGCAGGUCCCUAAAACGAAGUAAGAAAGCAACUAAAAGCUGUGGAGCGCCCAGUUACUGCCCGCAGUGCGUGCGGACAGAGCUGCGCUGCCGCCAUCGGUGACGGACAGCAGGUGGCACUUCGGCAACGCGCGUCGUUUUCCCAGGGACUGCCGUUGAAAACGAGAGGCCUGCUUUGUUCCGGCAUUCAGUGCCGUAACACAUUGAUAGGGCUAUUUCCCCCCAUAACCCCAAUAAGCAAACAGACAAAAAGCAUCGCCGUCACCCUGCGUGAACAGCACUGGAAGUUGAAUGCGGGAUGAGCUUUGCCUUGCGUGCGGUACCGGGUCACACCGGGCCUCCAGCCGGGCCUCCCGCAGGCAGCGCUCUGUUCUGCCCGUUCCCUGCAGUGGGGGACGGGGAGAAGCCGAAACCAGAGGCUGUGCAACCUGAUGUGUUAGAAGAAAAUCGGUAUCUCGGCCUCGGGAGGAGCUGGACUGAGUUUUGACAUGCUUAGGAAAGACGGCGCUCUGGAAUCCUGUUUUCCCAUUGAGGUCAUUGCUCGUGGGUCCACGGCAGCACUCGGGGUUGGGGUCUCCCUCGUGCCGGUGCCUGAAGAAGCGCUGAAGGAGUGAAGGCAGAACCUGCUGAGGUUUCACCGCCUUCGCGUGGCUCCUGGGCCGUACAGGGAUCAACUUCUGGGCAACGAGAUUCGAAGGGGGCACAGAGCGCACCUUUCCAACUUGAGCAGCAAAAUCCUCGUGCUGCUCAGGUCCUGAAAUAGAGCCCCGCCGUGGAUGACUUCAAGGACAGGAAUUUGUUCCUUAUCCCUGGAUUUCUCUUAAGGGAAAUCAGGACACGGAAAUUUAAAUUUUACAUUAAGAAACGAAUCAGGAUAGGCACUUUCUGCUUUAAAAAUAAGCGUGGGCAAAAUUGCAACUCACCUGGUAAUAAUUUGAGGCUUAAAUGUUUUAAAACUUCCCCAAAAUUAAUGAGAAGAAUAUUUCAGUGGUAUUUGCUCUCUUCUGAAGGGAGCUCCCCAGGGAAGCCUCUGGCCAGGCAGAGGUUGCAUGCAGUCAGCCACGUUCUGGAAAUCAGACCUUUGCCUGAAUGUGCAGAGGGAGUGUUUCUGUAAUUUCUGUUUGUUCUGUCCAUUUACUUCAAAGCUUACGUUAAAAGCUGAAAAGCCACCCAGGGACUGAAAAAAAGCAUGAAUGAUUUUUUAAAUUGAUGAAUAAAUUUAUUUAAAUCAUGAAUGUCUUAAUUAAUUUAUGGAGCGAGACCCAAGUGAACCAGAUCUAAAGUCCUGGAGGGCUCUGUGACCAGGCAGCCAGCUCAGCUCAGUGACUAUGCGGGGUACUCCCUUCUCUUAAUAAACCAGGUAGCUUUGCUUAAAAUUUUUUGAUAUGCUCAUCUGCUUUUCCCAUGUUUCUUAUGCAAAGCUCCAUUAAAAUAUCCACUUCACAUUUCAAAACGCUUUGUGAACAUUUGUGUUGCAUUCCUGCUUCUGUCAUAAUACAUUUUGGCUUCAAGCGUAUGUAAGGACUGAUAAUAACAAAGUAAAUGAGAAAUACAUCACCCUUCAGUUUAACAUAAUGAAACUGAACAGUUGAGCAUGAAAAAAUGUAUAGGAAACUCUUUAAUUGGCCUGUCUCUAGACAGCAGAUUCCUACCAACAAGCACGGAAUAUCAGUUUUCUUGAAGAAAAACUGAAUGAUAUGAAGGCCAGCUGAGAUCAAAGCCAGGUAAUUAAAGGAAGGUUGCCUGUGCUUCAUUGCUCUUUCAUUCUGUUUUUGUGGCCUCCAAGUACAGUGUCUGCAUGCCACACUUUAUUAAGCAGUAUGAGGCACCUAGGAUUUUAAGCAUCACUUUAAAGCACUCAAUACCUUAUUGAUGCUUUCCAAGACAUAACAGUAAUAGCAAUUUCAAAUAUAUGAGUUAAAUGCGAGCGAUGCGCUUCCAUCAGGUCAAACCCAGCAGUUGUGAAAGUCUGUUUGUGUUGUUGUAGUGGGAUAUACAUGAAAGUGUAUUUGUAUAAAAGAGGCAGUGAAAAUGCAGUCCCCGUGUUGAAAAGCACAAAUGCUGUCCUCUCUUCAAGACACUCACAGGUCUGUGAUGUACAAUGAAAUACAAAGAUUGCUGUGCAGGAAAGCAGCUUAGGACGUACCAAGCAUUUGGAGAGUUUGCUUUCCAAAGUUUGUUUCAAUUUUCAUGAGUGACAGAUGUUUUGUCAUGGAAUUUUU
rnacentral:lncRNA from 1 species